rfam:Hordeum vulgare subsp. vulgare, WGS project CAJW01000000 data, contig: morex_contig_49104
GCACCGAAAGUGAGUAUUGGAGGAAAGCAAACUGGAAAUCUGUGUCAAAGCGUUGAUGUUUUCAGUUUGUUUUUCUCCAAUAUCUCACUUUGGGUUG